AUUUAACGUCUUUUUAAACGGAACAUGAGAUUAAUUUUAAUCGAAUCACAGCAAAAUAAAAAACACAAUGGAAAAUAAUGAAACCGUUAAUUACGAAAACAUACGUUUUUCCAAUUGUUACAACGGCCGUACGCACUACGCACUGAUGAGACAAAGAAAAGAUGUUAAAUUUGGAAUUCAGAGCAAGAUUUUUGGUAGAAAAACUCAAUUUAAAAAAUGUAAAAUACAAUAUAAUGAAACUGUUUAAUCAAACAAUUAGGAAAAUCUAAAAAUUGACGUUUCAAUACGCCGACUAAGUUUAAAAUUCGGCAAAAAAGCUCUCUUAUUUGGAGUAAGGUUUCCGGUAGAUUCUGUAACAAAAUGGCAUAAACAGUUUGAAAUUUUGAAUAUUUCGCAGCUCCGCGUCGUUACAUACGGUUUUUGAUCGCAUGUAUUUUCUAUUAUUUUGAAGUAACGUACUUGCAGCUAAAUAUUACUGUAGUAAGAAAUAUGAAUAAAUCACGAACGCGUUUUUACGAUCGUUUACUAACAUUUUGUAU